rnacentral:rRNA from 1 species
CGACCACACGUCGCACCCCCAUCUGGAUCCGCCGCCUCCCCACCACCGGCCGACCACGCCUCGCACCCCCAUCUGGAUCCGCCGCCUCCCCACCACCGGCCCGCAUCGUCCGUCGUGCCCUCCUCCCCGUGUCGUCCGAGUCCUCCGCGUGCAGCUUGCCGACGCCGAGGCCUAGGCCGCCGCGCUCCGGGAUCGCGCCGGCCGUCUCGAGCGCGUGCCGCCGACUGCGACGGGCUGCUCGGCACACUCCGCGCCGCCAUGGGCAACAGGUGGUAGGACGAGGAGAGGGUGGUGGAGACAGCGGAGGAGCUGGCAGGAGGAGGAGGAGAGGAAGGUGGAGGCGGCAGAGGAGCCAGUAGGAGUAGGAGAGGGAGGUGGAGGCGGCAGAGGAGGGGACGGGGAUGACGGGGACAGAUCGGUCUACACGCCGGAGGACGAGGGCAUCACACCGCCUACCGAUUCCUUCUUCCUCACGUCCCGGUUUCAUGGCCAUCGCUGCGGUCGCCCAACAUCGACCACCUUGCCCCGAUUAGCUCUUGGAUACGCGGACGACCGGAUGUGCUCCAGCGCGGUCGCCUAUGGGCUGCUCCCACGAUGAAUCGACAACUAAGCUCGGGGACGUGAUAUGGUGCUCGGUGUAGGUGGCCAUGGUGGACCUGAAAGCUGGCUUAGAUAAGCGAUGGGAUCGAGUGGCGGCGCUCCCGAUCCGAUCGGGAGCAGGACGACGGCGGCGAGCACAUGGCGGGCGAGAGGAGCAGGAGGGGAGGCACGAAGGCGGGGCCAUAUGCGUCGGACGCGCGCGUUCGCCCGCAGUCAACGCGGACACAACGGCCGUCCAUGGCGGCUCGGGUCGAUGUAGGAGGACGAGGGGAGGAGCUCGCGAGGCCCGGCACCGGUAAUGGAGCGGAGGCGGCUGGAUCUAGCGAUUCUGGAGGGGCUGGUGACGAGCGGCUCCAUGGGCGGCGACCUGCGGGGUUCAAGCAGCGGCUGCCAUGAAGGUUUGUCUGAUAUACUUCAUUUUAUGCAUGGGUUGAUCCCUCCCCUGGAUACUGUCAAGGUUUGCAUUUCAAUGGAGCAUUGCAUCAUUUUGCUUUAAUUAUUUAAACUGCCUAAAUGGUACAAGUUGAGUGUAGGUAUGAGCGAUCUGGUUUCCCCUUUUGUUGUUCUAUACGAGGAUGAUCCAGAUGCCUUUUGGUGUUUUGAGAUGCUACUUUGAAGGAUGCGUGAAAAUUUCCACCUCGAGGGACCGACAUGAGUUAUGAAGCGGUUGGAAGCAUUGUGGAAGAUCAUGGAAUUGACAGAUACGGAACUAAUAAACUGUCUGCAUACAUAUGCUGCGUGUUCACGCCCUCUGCUCAGACACCGUCAAGGCUCUCGACCUCAGUCAACAAUCUGCCGAAGAUAACGUGGCAGCCACCAACUUGUGGUUGCUCAGCGUGCGCUCCUUCCGGUUACACAGCGACCACGACAAGAUGACGGUUGUGGUCUUGGCAUUUAGGAUGGAGGCCUUCAACUGCAUUUUCUCAUGGACGAACUGACCAACGCAACAUUCCUUGCUUCAAUUUCUUUGUCGUAGAAGCUGAAAGUAUAUGGUCUGAUUUUAUAUUAUAGAGUGUGUGUAUGAGAACUGAUUCAGAGUAUGUUGGUCAUUUGCGUUCUCAAGCUUUUUGUUGUAUGAUUUCUAUGGGAGAGAAUGAUACACGAGCCAGUAAUAAUACAACUAAAGUUUGUGAACAUAUCAUUACAAAAUGGUUGGCUAGAUAAUGUACACAUUCUACUAUAUAUGAUCAUUUUCUUUGUAGCUAUACACUUAUUUAGAAUACUGUACAAUUUUAUCUAUAGAUCAUUUUGUUAGGAAUGAUAGUAAAAUGAGGAAUGUUUUUCUACUUGUUGAUCUUCUAUCCCCUAUCCACCCCGUUUCACUCAUGUUCCCACUUUCAAAGAACGGACGUGGAUCUGUGGGGUCUUGAACAUGUUUUGAUGUUCAUUGGGGGCAUUUGGAUUUUUUUUCUCCCGUUGCAACGCACGGGUUUUUUGCUAGUAUGCUGCCAAAGGCAAUGGAAAAAAAGCUAGCUAUGCUGAUAGCAAAACAAUUUGUGAACUCCCAACUCCUAUUGUUCCUCCUCCAUCCUAUCUUGACCAUCUUUCUUCUCGGAGGAAAUGCCACCGACAUUUCUGCUAUCUAAGCAAAACAGAUUAUGUAGCUGAUAAUUAAGGUACUACUUUUGAUCGUUUGCUUCAUCUUUGUUUUAAGGAGUUAUUACAAUUGUAUUAGGUAACAAUAUUUCCGCGCAAACAUACAUAACUGAUCUAGAGAUGCUCUUGUAGGUGCUUGUGAGUGGAGGAGGCGCUAUUGGUUUACAUUAUAUGGACCUGGAGCUUCUUCUGUUUGUUGGGCGCCGGCCUUCAUUCAGAAACACAUCAUGGAUGAAGGUUUUAAGGUACUUUUUCUUACAUAUGUAUGAUCGUUUCACUCGAGUUGUGUGUUUGUUAUUGUGUUUUUCUGGUUGUCAUGGUAUUACUUACACAAAACUAUUCUGUAAAAUACAAGUUGUGAAUCUUAGCAUACACUAUAAAUGUUACAAUAAUGAUAUUUACAUAUCAGGGUAUGCAAGUCAUUACACAACUACUAAGAUCCAACCUAGCAUGCAUGCGCCAAUCAGGGAAAGUUAACUGGGCGCCAGACAAUAAAAUGCAUCACAAAGAUGCGAUGGAGAUUUUUUUUGAAAAACCCCUCCCAUAUAUUAAUUAAUUAAAAAUAUUCAUACAAUCAUCUGUUACAACUUUAGCCAUGCAGGGCGGAACAAUAUUUAUAAGAAAACCAUCUGACCUAUUAUCUAAACUGAACUUCGCAAUCUCAUGCGCCACUUUAUUGACCCUUCUGAUUAUCUUAGAUAUCUUGAGAUUAGCCAUCAUCUUGGAAAUACUCAGCACUUCCAUCUUAUGAUCAAUGAGGGAAGACCUGUCCAAAUAAUCAUUUCUAUGAAAAGACGCCACAGAAGAGCAAUCGGUUUCUAAAAUGAUGGGUUUAUGAAGGGUAAUACCGAUAUAAAGCCCUGCAAGUGUCACUCUCAGUUCCACUUCAUACAUGCUAUUGCAAACCCCAAUAUAGUCCCAAGAAGAAAUGAUGACUUCAACAGUAUGGUUCCUGUCAAACACUCCCACACUGGCAACACUAAUGGCCUUCACAAAACUUGCGUCAACAUUGAUCUUAAUGAAAUAUGGAUCGGGGGGUUGCCAAAUCACACAUUUUCCAUCCACAUCAUUGGUAUAGUUUACGCCAUCCACCUUCUCCUUACCUUUAAUGGUAAUCUCCACCUUCAUCUUGGUAUGACAUGACGAGAAGGAGUCCCAGUAGUUUUGAAUAAAACUCACAGCGGCAGAGAUAGUUUCUUUACCUUUACCAAAGAUCAAAUCAUUCCUCAAGUGCCAUGCCCUCCAAAACAUGAAUAUAAUUUGCUCAUGUACCAGCGACCUUAAUUGAUCCAGUAGGAUAAGUAACCAAUCUGGUCCAGAGAAGUUGAAAACCUCCUCAUCCGGUAGAUUCCACACUUCCCUUAAUGCCGUACGGAGUGUACAGGCCUUGGGACAGUUCACAAGGGCAUGAUAAACACAUUUAUCCUCCAGACCACAGAUCGAGCACAACCCAAUGGUAGUUUGGUGGUGUUUAACUCUAUUAAUUUUUUAUGCGAUGGAGAUUCUGUUUUAUCCGAUCUAGAAAAAACUGAUGCGUUCAGGAUUUAAGACUUUUAAUUGAUACCUUUUCUGUCAUAUGGUACAUAUAGUUAAUGUCACAUCCAAAAUUAAUCUUGAUACGAUGUUUCGUAUGGAAAUUCUAUUCUUCUAAUCUAUCGAACUUCCGUUCAACCAUUUUCAUGAGACUACAAAGGGAUUAUGUCCUCUGUAUAUGCAACUGGAACAAUGAAAUAAUUUUAGAGAUCUUUUAGUUACCUAGAUCUCCAACCCCUUUUCUCCUCUUCGGUAGUAGAACCACUUGCUCAGUUAGGGCUUUAAUGCUGUGUGUCGAUGGUGUAUAUGAUUUAGGUCAUGAGCAGUCAUGCCCAAUUUAGUUGUGCUAAUCAAAACUAACAAACAAUUAGCAGCAUGGAUGGUCCACUGAUCACUUCUAGCUUUGCCUACACGUUUUAAAUAAGUAUUAAGUAAUACUAGGCUGAAAAUGAUAUAUAUGUGAAUUAAACUCAGCUGAUUGUCAUAAGCAGGUGGUGACAUGUGAUUCACCCAAUGUCGAAAAGGCGGUAGAGAAUUUAAUCACUUUACUUGACCGCGUUGCAUAUAGUGCCAUCUAUUAUAAUGGAUGGCAUGGGUUGGGUGCUUCUGCUGUGCUUAGAGCUAUGGUCGAAGACCCUCCCCCAUCUUUAUGGAAGAAUUUUGACAAGAUCAUCCACAUCGAUUGCUCGUGGUGGAAAAGUCGAAGAGCACUACAAAGGAAAAUAGCUGAGCAAUUGAAGCUUCCUGGAAGUGUAAUUGCUAUUUUUGAUAAGCAAGAUGAAAAAGAUGAUUUGGAAGGGUUAGAUGAGGGAUCUCGAGCUGAGAUACAACAUGUUGUGCCAAUAAUCCAUCGGUCCCUACAAGACCAUAGAUGUUUAGUGGUAUUUUUGAAUGGGAGCCUCAACAGAGUUGACUUGAAUGAUUUCGGCAUUCCUCAAGCAGGGUUUGGCACUAGAAUAUUGUGGACUUUUAGGGGAAGGAUUCUGCUCAACUCAAUCAUAAAUGAAAAGAUGGACAAUUCAAAUUUUGUUGUCUUUGAGGAAGGUUUUCACAGUCGCAUGUUUUUUCUACAGGCAGAGGUUGGAGAAAUUGCUCAGUCUAUUGGAAAUCUUGUCGUCACCCCUGAAAUACCGGCAGAGUGUUGCAUGUACAUGUUGUCAUUAAUCUCUCAGAGUGGCGGCAUUAUUGACUUCAAGUGGACUACCCAUGCUAACAACUACUGGGUCUGCGAUGGUAUUGUACAAGGAGUUCAAGAUGAUGAAGCGUGGGAUAUUGGUACUGCUUUGUAUCAAUGGAUCGGAUUAGAGGACUACUCAUUUGAUACAUUGCCCCCUUUUGCUGAUAUUUUGGGCAGUGCUCAGAAACGCUGGAUAGCUGUUACCUCCACUAGUAAGGAAGAAACGAGAGAGAUCGAGGUAGUGAUUGUACCUCUAGAGUCAACAUCCUUUUUCCAUGCAGCCCAAAGGGAAUCCAAUCCUGCAUUAAAAACACUACCAGAUGGCAUGUUUCAUCAAUCGGACAAGCUUCGUGUGCUCAGAUUAUGCAACUGCUCCUUCAGUUUUUCUUCACCUCCUUUCCAGUGUUGUCGAAGCUUACGUUUCCUUGGAUUGGAUAGUUGCAAGGAUCAACAAAAGGAAGAAUCCAUGAAGCAAGGAAAACCAAAUAUGGAAUUUUUUCACAGCCUAUGGGUGAUAGAUAUAUAUGACACAACCUGGGAACUGGAUCUGUCACUAGAGACAAUAGACCAAAUGGCUGCAAACAUUAGGGAGGUACAUAUGAAGAAGGGAAGGAUUUGGUGCCAUAAUUUUUCAUGGCGACAACUACAGAACCUUCGCAAGCUUCGAAUAAUUGAACCAACAUGCUCUUGGGAGAUAAGUGAAAUGGAUGAAUUCACACACAUGGUGAAGUUGGAGCUCCUCGAUCUAACUGGGAAUAGUACAAUACAAGUUUUGCCAAGACUGUCAGAGGCAAUUGUUCUGAAGACUCUGAUUCUAGAUGGUUGUGUUCAGUUAGAGCAUGUUGGCCCUGACGGACUCCCUCGGUCAAUUGAAUCAUUCAGCUUAACUGCAAGUUCAAGUCAAAAAGCAAAAGUCUCCAAGAUCUCUUUAGCCGGUUGUGUGCAUUUGGAGAACUUCACAUUGUGUGGAGCAUUGCCGUGCCUUGAGGAGCUGGACCUAUCAGGCACCUCAAUCACGAAUCUUGACUUCAGCCAUGAGAUGGUGCAGGUGCCAAAACUAGAGCGACUCUUUCUAAUAGGCUGUGAGAACCUCCAUGCAAUACUAUGGAAGGGUGUCAAUAGAAGCUUGAAAAUACUACACAUUAGCAGUGAACGAAAGGACGCUAUAAGGCCACAUGAUUCUUCAUUCAUCCGUUCUGUAAACAGGAAAUAUGAUGGCGAAGUUUAUCUCAGAGAUGCAAGGCUCAUUCCAUCCUUGGUGCUCGGUUCGUGGGAAGUCAGUUCUAGGUUUUUGAUUACGGAUAGCCUAUACUUGAAUCUAGGUAAGUCUUUCGAGAUCAAAGCUGAAGGGAGAAGCGUUAAUACUUUGGGGAUUGAGACCUGCAAUGUCCAGGUAGUUUCGCCAGUCCGAAGCCCCUUCAGAUGCUGCUACCAUGACAUCGUACUCGAGAGAGUAGCUAAUGCUUACAAGGUCCCACGAAUUCUACCCCUACACCGCCACGUUGAGAUUGGUGAUGGAAUUAAUCUCACUAAUGCGGAGUCCGUUUGGGGACUUUUAGCUAUUCGUCAAUUGAUAUGGUGGGCUCAUUCCUUGCGUGUCCAUGACAAUUCAUCCAUCCUUGGUGUUACCCCCAAGCAAGAUUCUGUCCUUCCAGGUGGAAAACUUAUGUUUUAUUUGAGAUGGUGCCAUGUUGAGAGGUGUCCUAAGUUACAGAAAGUUUUCACCCCUUACACAAACAAGUGGUGUUAUUCCUUUGCUCAUAUGGAGACCAUUUGGGUGACCGAUCUCAGAGCAGCUGGCUGCAUUUGGAGCAAAGGAAUGAUUGGGGGCAUUUGAGGAAGAAUCUGUCUUUGGAGAACUACGGAGCAUACACUUGCACAACUGCCCAAGGCUCAAGUUUGUCCUCCCAAUCUCAUCAUUCAUUUUACCCAGCCUGGAGACCAUCCAAAUAGUCCAUUGUGGUAAUCUCAGGCAGGUCUUCCCACGGGAUGUGAAUUAUGAAGCUGGAAAAGAAGACACUGUGAAGAAUUUUCCAGAGCUAAAGCACAUCUACUUGCACCAACUCGACUGCCUGGAGCAAAUAUGCGAGGCCAAGAUGUUUGCUCCCAAGCUUGAGACGAUCAGGAUAAGGGGUUCUUGGGGCCUUAGACGCCUCCCGUCUGUCAGCCUUCGCCAUGGAGCCGGCCUUCCUGUUGUGGACUGUGAGAAGGACUUGUGGGACAAGCUAGAGUGGGACGGUCUGGAGGCCGGGCACCACCCGUCUCCAGGCAGUCGAGUUGGCUGUGCCAGGCCCAGGCACCAAAGCAACCUCUGUUUGGCACAAGUAAAAGUAUAAAAUAAGACGAGUUGAAGGAUCACACUCACGACAUCAAAGACCCAACCAAGUGCUGCCAGCCACUCGAACAAAUAUGUGCUGCCAACUAAUCGCCGGCGCAAAUAUUUAAGAGCAUAACACAGCCUUGGAGAGGAGAUACUUCACCAUGAUGCUAGAGUCUGUCAAUAACCUAUACGACUUCCUAGUCGUCAACAAUGCCACAGAAAGUUACCUCUUCUACUCGAUGAAGGAUGAUUCAGUAGUCCCGCUCUCGCGGUUAAUCAUGGACCUGACCGGACAGAUCAAGCUGUUGAUAUGGCAUGAUGAUUCCUACCUACAAUGGGUCAUAGUCUGGGCCCAGCCAUGGUCACCGUGCGACGUGUAUGCGCUCUGUGGGGCAUACGGCAGCUGCGACUCCAGUGGCCCGGUCGUACUGCAAGUGUGACAAGGGGUUCAGCCAGAAGGUUCAGAGUGACUGGGACCUCCAAGAUUACAGUGGUGGGUGCAAGAUCAACAAAGGAGGAAAACAAGGAUCAAUGGUUCAGUUGUUGGUGGAGUUACUGCAGUUUUGGUAAUUCUUUCGAUUAUGUUCUUCCUAUUUCAGAAGCACCGCCGAGACAGAACUCUUUGGAUAUCCGAGAAUGCUCGGGCUGCACCGACUGACUUCAAGUAUAAUGGUCUAUUGGAUGAUAUUCGAAGCAUCGAUUCACUUCUUCUCGAUCUAUCAACACUAAGAGUUGCAACAAAUAACUUCGGUGAAGGAAAUAUGCUUGGUAAAGGAGGUUUUGGGAUGGUUCAUAAGGGAGUCCUACCUGACGGUAAACAAAUAGCAGUAAAAAGACCAUGUCAGGGUUCCAGACAAGCAAUAGGGGAAAUGAAAAGUGAACUUGUCCUGGUCGCUAAGCUUCUUCACAGGAAUCUUGUGAGCCUCAUUGGUGUUUGUUUGGAAGAACAAGAUAAAAUACUUGUGUAUGAAUUUAUGCCCAACAGAAGCCUUGACACCAUUCUUUUUGAUUCUGAGAAACGCAAAGACCUAGAUUGGGGAAGGAAAUUCAAGAUUAUCAGUGGGAUUGCUAGGGGACUGCAGUAUCCUCAUGAAGAGUCCCAGUUGAAGAUAGUUCACCAUGACCUGAAAGCGAGCAAUAUUCUAUUGGACUUGGAUUACAACCCUUAGCGAAGAUAUUUGGAGGGGAUCAAUCAGAAGAUAUCACUAGGCGCAUCGCUGGGACAUACGGAUACAUGUCGCCUGAAUAUGCGAUGCAUUUCUCAAUACUCAGCAAAGUCGGACACAAUCAGCUUCGGUGUUUUGGUUUUGCAGAUCGUCACAGGAAGAAGAAACAAUGGCUCCUGCAACUCCGAGCAAUAUGUCUAUCUCGUAAAUCUUGUAAGUACUUAAGAACCAGUGUAUCCAGUGAUCCAGUCUGGACCAAGGGAAAUGUCAUCGAGUUGAUCGAUCCAUCCCUUAGUGUCCAUCCUUCUCACAUUGACCAGGUGCUGAAGUGCAUCCAAAUCGGGCUGCUGUGCGUGCAGAACAGACCUGAAGAUAGACCGAUGAUGUCGUCGGUGAAUGUCAUGCUUAGCAGCCAGAGUGUUUGCCUUCCUUCUGUUUCCAUGCCAGCCUUCUCUGAUGGAUUGCGUGGAUGUAGUGAUAAUGAUUCAAAAGUGGCGUCCUCAAAUGGAAUGACCAUCACAAAGCUCGAGCCAAGAUGAAACCAUUUUUCACCAGUGUCACAUUACUGUCUUUUUAGAGAUCAGUUUGAUCAAAUGUCUUUAUGUGCCUCCAAGGUUAUCUUCGGUGUCACUUUUGCUGUGAAGCAGGAUUACCGUAUUGCUGCUGGAAAAAAAUGUUAGCGGUAUUAUUAGCUGUGAUAUGUGGCUCAUACAAAUACAUGUAUCAAUAGUGAAUUCAGCAGCCUUUCCAUUUUGGCAAUCUUCUAAAAUUAGGUUUCGCUCUGUAAAAUUUCACUUGCAAUAAAUACAAGGUUUUCUAUGAUGCAGGCAGAGCACACCCAUUAUUUUGUAGGUG